rnacentral:misc_RNA from 1 species
GAUGAAGAACGUAGCGAAAUGCGAUAAGUAGUGUGAAUUGCAGAAUUCAGUGAAUCAUCGAAUCUUUGAACGCACAUUGCGCCUCCUGGUAUUCCGGGAGGCAUACCUGUUCGAGCGUCAUCAAAAACCUCAACCCAUGAUUUAUUGUGAGUUGGUUCUGCAUUGGACUCCUUGUGGGUCCUUUGCGAAAUCCAAUGGCGAAGAGCCACGCAACCAAAGCGUAGUAUAACUAUUUCGUUAUGGAAGCGUGGGUGCCUCUGCCGUAACCCCCAAUUUCUUAGUUUUUGACCUCGGAUCAGGUAGGGAUACCCGCUGAACUUAAGCAUAUCAAUAAGCGGAGGA